GCGGGCUCCGAAACUCCGGUGUGGCGAAGCCCGGCUGCAGCCCAGCGCCAGCCCCUCAGGAGGCGGGGACCCGGGAGAAGUAAAUACCGUGAGGGCCAAACUUCGCCGCCUUUUGCGCCCCAGAGACGUGGGGAAGCGGCGCGCUGUGGGUUUUUUUAGGUUUUCCGUUUUUUUUUUUUUUUAAGACGGUCUUGCUCGGUUGCCCCGGCUGCAGUGCGUGGCGCGAUCUCGGCUCACUGCAGCCUAGACCUCCCGGGCUCAGGUGGUCCUGUCUCGGCCUCCGGAAGUGCUGGGACCGCAGGCGGCGCCAUCGCUCGGCUCGCUGAUUCUUGGUAGACAUUACUCGUUGCUAGAAUGAGUCACAGUCCGAAAUAAUUACAUUACCCUGCCCCCCCCAAAAAAAAACAUAUUCGUAUUUUGGAUUUUCUUUUUCCAAUUUUCUGCUAGCACUGAGGAAACUUCUUUAUCUAGAUAGAUGGGAUUGCGAGGAAUUGUUUUUAGCAAUGACGCUCAAUUUCUUUAGCUUAUUUAUAUGCAAAAAAUACACAGCAGUUAUCACCAAGUGUACUUGAUGACCUCUCAGUUGACCACUCGAAUAGGUCCUCUGUACAUUUUGAUGGAAGCAGGGCCCGGCGCGGUGGCUCACGCCUGUAAUCCCAGCACUUUGGGAGGCCGAGGCAGGCGGAUCACCUGAGGUCGGAGUUUGAGACCAGCCUGGCCAACAUGGAGAAACCCUGUCUCUACUGAAAAAAAUAAAAAAUCUAGCCGGGCGUGGUGGCACAUGCCUGUAAUCCCAGCUAAUCGGGAGACUGAGGCAGAAGAAUCGUUUGAACCCGGGAGGCAGAGGUUGCCGUGACCCGAGAUCUCGCCGUUGCACUCCAGCCUGGGCAACAGAGGGAGACUCUGUCUCAAAAAAUAAAUAAUAGAUAAAUAAAUAAAUAAGGCCAGGCACAGUGGAUCGCACCUGUAAUCCCAGCACUUUGGGAGGCCGAGGCGGGCGGAUCAUCUGAGAUCGGAGUUGGAGACCAUCCUGACCUACAUGGAGAAAUCCGGUCUCUACUAAAAAAGAAAAAAAAAAGUCAAGUGUGGUGGCACAUGCCUGUAAUCCCAGCUACUCAGGAGGCUGAAGCAGGAGAAUUGUUUGAACCUGAGAGGCAGAGGUUGUGGGAAGCCAAGAUCAAGCUAUUGCACUGCAGCCUGGGCAACAAGAGUGAAAUUUUGUCUCAAAGAAACAAAACAAAAAUCUGAUGGAAGGAAACAAAGAAUUAGAAGUAACCUAAAGUGCAAAACUACAUUAGGUCUUUCCCAGCCAAUAAAUUCACCUACUUUCUUAAAAUCCACUGCAGAGUUUUGAAUUAUCCUUUGGUAAGGAGGACAGCCCAGGUACCAGGGUGAACAAAGGAAGAGAAGCAAGGCGGAAGAAGGAGCAAUGGCCAAGGGGGACACGCUAGGCGUGUGCCCUCAGCCAAGGGCCUUCUCUGAGAAUUCCAGGGCAGAGUUUGUGGAAGUCCUGCUGUGAUUCUCCAGGGGCUUCCCAACUUUUGGAAAGGUUUCUGCGUUCCAGGGGUGUGUGUGAAAGCCCUGCAUUGAGCGACCCCACCUUUCAUCCAGACCCAGAGACCUCGGCUGCUGCAACCCUAUUGCCAGCUUACCCUCACGGGGUCUGGCUUUUAAGGUCCAACACCACUCCACAGGACAUCUGCUACCCACUUAGGAACCCCCUUCGGCCACAGCAGCCUUGUCAGAUGACUUAUAAUCUCCAUUUUACAGAUGAGGAAACUGAGGAAUAGGGAAGCUGAGUGGCUCACGUAACACAUCAGCCAGGACGUGCUGGAGGGAGGCUCAUAUGUGGCCAUCUGUCUCCAAAGCCCUUGACCUACAGCAAGUACAAAGCCAAAACCAGGGGGCGUGGCUGGAAGGCAGAAGGCCCAAGGGAAAGCUGCCAUGCAGGAUGAGGCUGGCACUGUUGCCAUAACUAGAGCUCAAAAAGGAAAUCUGUCCAAAGAAACUGCGUUCAGCCAGAAAGAGAUUUUGUAGGGAUUUGAGGGGACGGAGCCAUUCUGAAGACAAAGAGCAAAAAUUACAAUAAAAGAUCCCAAAACACAGUUUCAAGCUAUCUGGUGUGUGGGGUUUAGGAGAAUGCCAUGGGUGGUCUUGGUGUGGGAGCAAGCCCAAAACUGUCUGGAAAAUGGCCCCGAGGAAGGGUGGAGCCAUUAUGUGGGCGGGGGUGGGGGGGGGGGCCGUGAGCAGAGCUUUCCUUCUUUGGGUGAAUGGGGUCUGGGGACAAGUUGAUAAGAAUGGAGGACUGAAGACACUUGUGAAGGACAGUCUUUCUGAAAUAACUGGGUGGGGCAGAUUGUGUGGUCCUGGUCCCAGCCACGUGAGAAGCCCAUGCAGGCUUCUGAGCAGGAGUGUGACGAAACCCAAAUCACACUGGAAAGACAUGUUGGCUGCGUGGUGACCGUAGCCAUCAGCUGCAGCUCACCAGGGUCACACCCUCCCCUGACAGCCCACAUUGCCAAGUCCUGGAUCUGUUGGUCGGUCUUGUUUACACUGUUCCUGCUGGCUGUUUUAAAAGCAUAAAGCUAUCGGUUUCAUGGUA